ACUACUGGCUCAGUCGGUAGAGCAUGUGACUCUUGAUCUCAAGACCAUGAGUUCAAGCCCUAUGUUCAGUG
rnacentral:tRNA from 1 species